GUGUGUUUGUCAUACUGAGCAUGAAUCUGCAUAAAAUUUUGCCUGAAGCUUGGUGAUACCUUCUCAGCGGCCUA